rnacentral:rRNA from 1 species
CCCGCACAAGCAGUGGAGUAUGUGGUUUAAUUCGACGCAACGCGAAGAACCUUACCAGGGCUUGACAUCGUCUGAUGGCUGUAGAGAUACGGCGUUCCCUUCGGGGACAGAUAGACAGGUGGUGCAUGGUUGUCGUCAGCUCGUGUCGUGAGAUGUUGGGUUAAGUCCCGCAACGAGCGCAACCCCUACGUUUAGUUGCUAACGCGUGAAGGCGAGCACUCUAGACGAACUGCCGUUGACAAAACGGAGGAAGUGGGAUGACGUCAAAUCAUCAUGCCCCUUAUGUUCUGGGCUACACACGUGCUACAAUGGCCGGUACAGACGGACGCAAAGCCGCGAGGUGGAGCAAAUCCUAAAAAGCCGGUCUCAGUUCGGAUUGCAGGCUGCAAUUCGCCUGCAUGAAGUCGGAAUCGCUAGUAAUCGCAGGUCAGCAUACUCGCGGUCGAAUACGUUCCGGGCCUU